GAAAUGCGAUACGUAAUGUGAAUUGCAGAAUUCCGUGAAUCAUCGAAUCUUUGAACGCAAAUGGCGCUCCGGGGCAAUCCCCGCAGCAUGGCUGCUUGAGUGGCGUUUUCGUCUAGACUCAUGCCUAUGGCAUGGACGUGGGGCUUUGUAGCAGGAGGAUGGUUGCUUUAUUGCACUGCUCUCCUGCUUCCCCUGAAAUGACGAGGUCGCGCGUAUCGGGGCACGCUUUCAGUACGCGGCUAGUGUGGCGGAAGUCAAUCGCUAGCUAAUUGUGCUGGUGCCUUACUCGAUGCAAACAGUGACCGGAAUAUUGAGUGCGGUGUGUGCGGUAAAAAAACACACAUCGGAUUCUACAACACCAAACCCAUAUGCUCUCAAGUCAGGCAAGAGUACCCGCUGA
rnacentral:misc_RNA from 1 species